UACGUAGGGGGCAAGCGUUGUCCGGAUUUUAUUGGGCGUAAAGGGCGCGUAGGCGGCCGGAUAAGUCUGAUGUGAAAUCCCCCGGCUCAACCGGGGGAACUGCAUUUGAAACUGUUGGCUCGAGUCCGGGAGAGGGUAGUGGGAAUCCCAGUGUAGCGGUGAAAUGCGCAGAUAUCAGGAGGAACACCGGUGGCGAAGGCGGGGUCUCUGGGGCCGUAACUGACG
rnacentral:rRNA from 1 species